GAUGAACGCUGGCGGCGUGCCUAAUACAUGCAAGUCGAGCGAACGGACGAGAAGCUUGCUUCUCUGAUGUUAGCGGCGGACGGGUGAGUAACACGUGGAUAACCUACCUAUAAGACUGGGAUAACUUCGGGAAACCGGAGCUAAUACCGGAUAAUAUUUUGAACCGCAUGGUUCAAAAGUGAAAGACGGUCUUGCUGUCACUUAUAGAUGGAUCCGCGCUGCAUUAGCUAGUUGGUAAGGUAACGGCUUACCAAGGCAACGAUGCAUAGCCGACCUGAGAGGGUGAUCGGCCACACUGGAACUGAGACACGGUCCAGACUCCUACGGGAGGCAGCAGUAGGGAAUCUUCCGCAAUGGGCGAAAGCCUGACGGAGCAACGCCGCGUGAGUGAUGAAGGUCUUCGGAUCGUAAAACUCUGUUAUUAGGGAAGAACAUAUGUGUAAGUAACUGUGCACAUCUUGACGGUACCUAAUCAGAAAGCCACGGCUAACUACGUGCCAGCAGCCGCGGUAAUACGUAGGUGGCAAGCGUUAUCCGGAAUUAUUGGGCGUAAAGCGCGCGUAGGCGGUUUUUUAAGUCUGAUGUGAAAGCCCACGGCUUAACCGUGGAGGGUCAUUGGAAACUGGAAAACUUGAGUGCAGAAGAGGAAAGUGGAAUUCCAUGUGUAGCGGUGAAAUGCGCAGAGAUAUGGAGGAACACCAGUGGCGAAGGCGACUUUCUGGUCUGUAACUGACGCUGAUGUGCGGAAGCGUGGGGAUCAAACAGG
rnacentral:rRNA from 1 species